UACGUAGGGUCCGAGCGUUGUCCGGAAUUACUGGGCGUAAAGAGCUCGUAGGUGGUUUGUCGCGUUGUUCGUGAAAACUCACAGCUUAACUGUGGGCGUGCGGGCGAUACGGGCAGACUUGAGUACUGCAGGGGAGACUGGAAUUCCUGGUGUAGCGGUGGAAUGCGCAGAUAUCAGGAGGAACACCGGUGGCGAAGGCAGGUCUCUGGGCCAUUACUGACACUGAGAAGCGAAAGCAUGGGGAGCGAACAGG
rnacentral:rRNA from 1 species